rnacentral:rRNA from 1 species
UCUACCCUCAACAGGAGUAUAGCUCGGGGAAACUCGGAUUAACACUCCAUAACAUUACGAUGUGGCAUCACAUUGUGAUUAAACUCCGGUGGUUGAGGAUGAGCAUGCGUCUGAUUAGUUAGUUGGAGGUGUAACGGACCCCAAGACGAUGAUCAGUAGGGGAACUGAGAGGUUGAUCCCCCACACUGGCACUGAGAUACGGGCCAGACUCCUACGGGAGGCAGCAGUAGGGAAUAUUGGUCAAUGGGUGAGAGCCUGAACCAGCCAUGCCGCGUGCAGGAAGACGGCCUUCUGGGUUGUAAACUGCUUUUAUCUGGGGAUAAAAAGCCCAUGCGUGGGACAUUGAAGGUACCAGAUGAAUAAGCACCGGCUAACUACGUG